rnacentral:rRNA from 1 species
AGCGAAUUGUGGUCUAUGGAGGCGUGUUCAGCGUGCGGCGCCGGCCCAAGUCCGUUGGAAGACGGCGCCACGGAGGGUGACAGCCCCGUCCUUGGCUGGAUGUCUGCCGCGUACGAACCGUUCUCUAAGAGUCGGCUUGCUUGGGAGUGCAGGCCUAAGCGGGUGGUAAAUUUCAUCCAAAGCUAAAUACAUGCGGGAGACCGAUAGCGAACAAGUACCGUGAGGGAAAGAUGAAAAGAACUUUGAAAAGAGAGUCAAAAGUACUUGAAAUUGCUGGGAUCGAAGGGAUGGCAUCUAGUAUUGGCCUGGGGAUUUUUGGGCAAGCGUGUACCGGUUCGAUUGAUUCGCAAUUGGCUUGAUUGUCUUUGCGGGUUGGUCUGCGGCCGGGACGCGAACCCGUCCUGUCCUC